UACGAAGGGGGCUAGCGUUGUUCGGAAUUACUGGGCGUAAAGGGCUCGUAGGCGGCCAACUAAGUCCGACGUGAAAUCCCCAGGCUUAACCUGGGAACUGCGUCGGAUACUGGAUGGCUUGAAUUCGGGAGAGGGAUGCAGAAUUCCAGGUGUAGCGGUGAAAUGCGUAGAUAUCUGGAGGAAUACCGGUGGCGAAGGCAGUCCCCUGGGCCUGUACUGACGCUCAUGCACGAAAGCGUGGGGAGCAAACAGG
rnacentral:rRNA from 1 species